rnacentral:rRNA from 1 species
UACGGAGGGUGCAAGCGUUAUCCGGAAUCACUGGGCGUAAAGGGCGCGUAGGUGGUCUGUUAAGUCUGGCAUUAAAGCCUGGGGCUCAACCCCAGAUCAGCGUUGGAUACUGGCAGGCUAGACGGUUGGAGAGGCGAGUGGAAUUACCAGUGUAGCGGUGGAAUGCGUAGAUACUGGUAGGAACACCCAUUGCGAAGGCAGCUCGCUGGACAACACGUGACACUGAGGCGCGAAAGUGUGGGGAGCAAACCGGAUUAGAUA